GACGAACGCUGGCGGCGUGCUUAACACAUGCAAGUCGAGCGGUAAGGCCCUCGGGUACGACGAGCGGCGAACGGGUGAGUAACACGUGGGUGACCUGCCUCUAGCGUCUGGGAUAAGGACCGUGGGAAACUGGGUCUAAUACCGGAUAUGACUCCACGGCGCAUGUUGUGGGGUGGAAAGCCUUGUGUGGCUAGAGAUGGGCCCGCGGCCUAUCAGCUU
rnacentral:rRNA from 1 species